AUAUCGUUUUGGGGGCAAUUCCAAAGUAGAGCCUUGUAGUGCUCCCAUGCUUCAAACAAAGAGUCCCCCAGUUAUUGUUCAAAAUUAGCAAUUACCUUUUUGAGCUU